rnacentral:rRNA from 1 species
UACAGAGGGUGCGAGCGUUAAUCGGAAUUACUGGGCGUAAAGCGUGCGUAGGCGGUCCGCGAAGUCUGAUGUGAAAGCCCCGGGCUCAACCUGGGAACUGCAUUGGAAACUAACGGGCUCGAGUGUGGCAGAGGGGGGUGGAAUUCCACGUGUAGCAGUGAAAUGCGUAGAGAUGUGGAGGAACACCGAUGGCGAAGGCAGCCCCCUGGGCUAACACUGACGCUCAGGCACGAAAGCGUGGGGAGCAAACAGG